rnacentral:rRNA from 1 species
GACGAACGCUGGCGGCGUGCUUAACACAUGCAAGUCACGGGGGCCCGCAAGGGUAACCGGCGAACGGGUGCGUAACACGUGAGCAAUCUGCCGUGAUCUGGGGGAUAGCCGGCCCAACGGCCGGGUAAUACCGCAUACGCUCGUUGAGUGGCAUCACUUGACGAGGAAACCUCCGGGGGAUCACGAGGAGCUCGCGGCCUAUCAGCUAGUUGGUGGGGUAACGGCCUACCAAGGCAAUGACGGGUAGCUGGUCUGAGAGGAUGGCCAGCCACAUUGGGACUGAGAUACGGCCCAGACUCCUACGGGAGGCAGCAGUGGGGAAUAUUGGUAAUGCGCGAAAGCGUGAACCAGCAACGCCGCGUGUGCGAUGAAGGCCUUCGGUUGUAAGCACUUUCGGUAGGAAGAGGAAGGACGUGUACUCCCACGAAUAAGACCUCGGCUAACUACGUG